rnacentral:RNase_P_RNA from 2 species
GAAGCAGGCCAGACAAUCGCUGGUUGUCAUGUUCGCAUGAUGACGGGAGGAAGGUCCGGACUCCAUAGAGCAGGGUGACGGCUAACGGCCGUACGUUGAAAGCUGAGGUGCAAACCGAGGUAUAAGACGAGGAAUAGGGCCACAGAGACGAGUCUUUGGGGAGUAGUGAAGCGCAAGCGGAUACUAAACCACAAAGGGUGAAACGCGGUAACCUCCACCCGGAGCAAUUUCAAAUAGGCACGCGUUGAGGUGGCUCGCGGAGCGUGCGGGUAGAAAGCUUGAGUGACGGAGCAAUCCGUCGCCUAGAGGAAUGAUUGUCAUAGCGUACGCGAGUAUGCCGUAACAGAAUCCGGCCUAUCGGCCUGCUUCAAUU